AGAGUUUGAUCCUGGCUCAGGACGAACGCUGGCGGUGUGCUUCACACAUGCAAGUCGAACGAGGUAGCAAUACCUAGUGGCGGACGGGUGAGUAACGCGUGGGAAUCUGCCCAAGGGUGGGGGAUAACUAGCCGAAAGGUUAGCUAAUACCGCAUAUGCCGUGAGGUAAAAGGAGUAAUCCGCCCCUGGAUGAGCCUGCGUCCGAUUAGCUAGUUGGUGGGGUAAAGGCCUACCAAGGCUACGAUCGGUAGCUGGUCUGAGAGGAUGAUCAGCCACAAUGGGACUGAGACACGGCCCAUACUCCUACGGGAGGCAGCAGUGGGGAAUUUUACGCAAUGGGGGAAACCCUGACGUAGCGACACCGCGUGAGCGAAGAAGCCCUUUGGGGUGUAAAGCUCUGUCAGCAGGAACGAAUAAAUGACGGUACCUGCAGAGGAAGCAUCGGCUAACUACGUGCCAGCAGCCGCGGUAAGACGUAGGAUGCAAGCGUUGUCCGGAUUUAUUGGGCGUAAAGAGUUCGUAGGCGGUUUGUUAAGUCUGAUGUUAAAGAUCGGGGCCCAACCCUGGGAGUGCAUUGGAUACUGGCAGACUGGAGUGCAGUAGAGGCGAGUGGAAUUCCCAGUGUAGCGGUGAAAUGCGUAGA
rnacentral:rRNA from 1 species